UCUAAACAGCAGUCCACGCCCAUACCCACACAUCGAUGCUGUGAUAUGAUAUGGAAAACUUUUGACGAUUGGAGACUUCUGCAAGAACUUUUCUGCAAUUGGAUGGCGAGCACUUUUGUUCUGGAAAGGACAGUGGUGUGGAGAGUGGAACGUGAGCCGAGAUAAAGGCUUUCUCGCAGUCUGUUGUUUUCGGAGAAGGCUACAGAAAGUAUAGGCUCCUGUUAUCUUAAAGUUUGUCAGUGCCACGGCUCACACGGCUAAACUCAGUGACACACACACAAGCACAAAAGGUGUGUGCUGGUGACGUCAGUCCCACAGCUGAAGCCGUUCAGCUGCAAUCAGGGAGACGCAUGAGUGGCCGAGCCGGCGACAGGGAAGAGAGCUUCAGUGGAAGCCAUAGUGAAACGGUACGUGACAGGGAAGAGAGCUUCAAUGGAAGCCAUAGUGAAACGGUAGGCCUACGUGACAGGGAAGAGAGUUUCAGUGGAAGCCAGGGUGACACACAGAUAGCAAACAGUCAUGGAAACUACGUAACUCAACAUUAAGUCACCGAAUCAACAUCGACAGCGUGUUCAAUACUGCGACCGUGGUUGUGUGAACCGCCUCUUUUUGUGUUUUGUCUUUGUUUAAAGACUCAGCUGUUCAGUUUCACCUUUGGAACUAAAUAUUUGUCUUCUUUUUGAAGUUCUGUUAAUUAUUACUUUAACAGUAUAGCAUACCAUGUUCUAUGUUGAACUGUUUCCGCUUCUCCCUUGGUUUCCCCCCGGGGUUUAUUUCAUUGUGUCUCCUCCCCU